UACGUAGGGGGCUAGCGUUGUCCGGAAUCAUUGGGCGUAAAGCGCGUGUAGGCGGUUCGGUAAGUCCGCUGUGAAAGUCGGGGGCUCAACCCUCGGAUGCCGGUGGAUACUGUCGGGCUUGAGUACGGAAGAGGCGAGUGGAAUUCCUGGUGUAGCGGUGAAAUGCGCAGAUAUCAGGAGGAACACCAAUUGCGAAGGCAGCUCGCUGGGACGUUACUGACGCUGAGACCCGAAAGCGUGGGGAGCAAACAGG
rnacentral:rRNA from 1 species